rnacentral:rRNA from 1 species
ACAGUGGACGCGAGCAUCUUUGUUGUAAGUAAUGAAGAGCGUACGGUGGAUGCCUUGGCACCAGGAGCCGAUGAAGGACGUAGGAGGCUGCGAUAAGCCUCGGGGAGCUGUCAACCGAGCUGAGAUCCGAGGGUGUCCGAAUGGGGAAACCCAGCACGAGUGAUGUCGUGUUACCUGCACCUGAAUAUAUAGGGUGUGUGGAGGGAACGUGGGGAAGUGAAACAUCUCAGUACCCACAGGAAGAGAAAACAACAGUGAUUCCGUCAGUAGUGGCGAGCGAACGCGGAAGAGGCCAAACCAUGUGCAUGUGAUACCCGGCAGGGGUUGUGCGUGUGGGGUUGUGGGGUUUGUCUUGUCGAUUCUGCCGGAUCGGCCGACAGUAAGAAAUCAUGCGGUUAGUCGAAGUGGUCUGGGAUGGCCUGUCGUAGAGGGUGAGAGUCCCGUAGACGAAAACUGUGUGACUGUCGUGAUGAAUGCCCAAGUAGCAGCGGGCCCGUGAAAUCUGCUGUGAAUCUGUCGGGACCACCCGAUAAGCCUGAAUACUCCCUGGUGACCGAUAGCGGACUAGUACCGUGAGGGAAAGGUGAAAAGUACCCCGGGAGGGGAGUGAAAUAGUACCUGAAACCGUGCGCUUACAAUCCGUCAGAGCCUUCGAGUGACUUGUCRCUGGGGGUGAUGGCGUGCCUUUUGAAGAAUGAGCCUGCGAGUUAGUGGUAUGUGGCGAGGUUAACCCGUGUGGGGUAGCCGUAGCGAAAGCGAGUCCGAAUAGGGCGUUUCAGUCGCAUGCUCUAGACCCGAAGCGGAGUGAUCUACCCAUGGCCAGGGUGAAGCGACGGUAAGACGUCGUGGAGGCCCGAACCCACUUAGGUUGAAAACUGAGGGGAUGAGUUGUGGGUAGGGGUGAAAGGCCAAUCAAACUCCGUGAUAGCUGGUUCUCCCCGAAAUGCAUUUAGGUGCAGCGUCGCGUGUUUCAUCCUGGAGGUAGAGCUACUGGAUGGUCUAGAGGGCCCACAAGCUUAUCGAAAUCAGCCAAACUCCGAAUGCCAGGAUGUGAGAGCGCGGCAGUGAGACUGCGGGCGAUAAGGUUCGUAGUCGAGAGGGAAACAGCCCAGAUCGCCGGCUAAGGCCCCCAAGCGUGUACUAAGUGGAAAAGGAUGUGAAGUCGCGAAGACAACCAGGAGGUUGGCUUAGAAGCAGCCACCCUUGAAAGAGUGCGUAAUAGCUCACUGGUCAAGUGAUUUUGCGCCGACAAUGUAGCGGGGCUCAAGUACACCGCCGAAGCCGCGGCACUCACACAACAGCCCCCGGUUCCCUUGCGAGGGUUCCGGCAGGUGUGUGGGUGGGUAGGGGAGCGUCGUGUGGCCAGGGAAGCGCCGGAGUGAUCCAGGUGUGGAGGCCACGCGAGUGAGAAUGCAGGCAUGAGUAGCGAAAGACGAGUGAGAAACUCGUCCGCCGAAUGAUCAAGGGUUCCUGGGCCAGGUUAAUCCGCCCAGGGUGAGUCGGGACCUAAGGCGAGGCCGACAGGCGUAGUCGAUGGACAACGGGUUGAUAUUCCCGUACCCGUGUAUCCGCGCCCAUGAUGAAUCAGGAGUACUAACCGUCCAGAGCCGCCAGGAGCACCUUCGGGUGCCGGGUGUGGUGAUGCACGGGACCUUUCCUGGUAGUAGUCAAGCGAUGGGGUGACGCAGGAAGGUAGCUGAGCCAGUCAGUGGUAACACUGGUGUAAGCCUGUAGGGCGAGACCUAGGCAAAUCCGGGUCUCACACAGCCUGAGAGGUGAUGCAUAGCCGAAUGAGGCGAAUUCAGUGAUCCUAUGCUGCCGAGAAAAGCCUCUAGCGAGCUGGUACACGGCCCGUACCCCAAACCGACACAGGUGAUCAGGUAGAGAAUACCAAGGCGAUCGAGAUAACUAUGGUUAAGGAACUCGGCAAAAUGCCCCCGUAACUUCGGGAGAAGGGGGACCCCUGCUGGUGAUACACAGGUCCGUGCGAAGUCGUAAGACGAUGUAUACGGACUGACGCCUGCCCGGUGCUGGAAGGUUAAGAGGACCGGUUAGUUCCUUCGGGAGCGAAGCUGAGAAUUUAAGCCCCAGUAAACGGCGGUGGUAACUAUAACCAUCCUAAGGUAGCGAAAUUCCUUGUCGGGUAAGUUCCGACCUGCACGAAUGGCGUAACGACUUCUCAGCUGUCUCAACCAUAGACUCGGCGAAAUUGCAUUACGAGUAAAGAUGCUCGUUACGCGCGGCAGGACGAAAAGACCCCGGGACCUUCACUACAGCUUGGUAUUGGUGUUCGGUUCGGUUUGUGUAGGAUAGGUGGGAGACUGUGAAGCAUGCACGCCAGUGUGUGUGGAGUCGUUGUUGAAAUACCACUCUGAUCGUAUUGGAUACCUCAACCUCGGACCAUGAUCUGGUUCAGGGACAGUGCCUGGUGGGUAGUUUAACUGGGGCGGUUGCCUCCCAAAAUGUAACGGAGGCGCCCAAAGGUUCCCUCAGCCUGGUUGGCAAUCAGGUGUCGAGUGCAAGUGCACAAGGGAGCUUGACUGUGAGACUGACAAGUCGAGCAGGGACGAAAGUCGGGACUAGUGAUCCGGCACCGGCAAGUGGAAGCGGUGUCGCUCAACGGAUAAAAGGUACCCCGGGGAUAACAGGCUGAUCUUCCCCAAGAGUCCAUAUCGACGGGAUGGUUUGGCACCUCGAUGUCGGCUCGUCGCAUCCUGGGGCUGGAGUAGGUCCCAAGGGUUGGGCUGUUCGCCCAUUAAAGCGGCACGCGAGCUGGGUUUAGAACGUCGUGAGACAGUUCGGUCUCUAUCCGCCGCGCGCGUCAGAAACUUGAGGAAGGCUGUCCCUAGUACGAGAGGACCGGGACGGACGAACCUCUGGUGUGCCAGUUGUUCCACCAGGAGCACCGCUGGUUAGCUACGUUCGGAAGGGAUAACCGCUGAAAGCAUCUAAGCGGGAAGCCUGUUCCAAGAUGAGGUUUCUCACCCCCUCGAGGGGGUAAGGCCCCCGGCAGACCACCGGGUUGAUAGGCCAGAACUGGAAGCCCAGCAAUGGGUGCAGGUGACUGGUACUAAUAGGCCGAGGACUUACCACAA